rnacentral:rRNA from 1 species
CAAUAGCGUAUAUUAAAGUUGUUGCAGUUAAAAAGCUCGUAGUUGGAUUUCUGAUCGAGACAUCAGGUCGGGUCCGAGAGGAUCAUGUACUUUGAUUUUGUUUUGAUCAUCCUUGGGGAGAGCAUUUCUGGCAUUCAGUUGUCGGGAUUGGGAUCCUCAUCGUUUACUGUGAAAAAAUUAGAGUGUUCAAAGCAGGCCUCGGCCUCUGAAUACAUUAGCAUGGAAUAAUAAGAUAGGACUUUGGUGGUCUAUUUUGUUGGUUUGCACGCCAAAGUAAUGAUUAAUAGGGAUAGUUGGGAGUAUUCGUAUUCAAUUGUCAGAGGUGAAAUUCUUGGAUUUAUGGAAGACGAACUACUGCGAAAGCAUUUACCAAGGAUGUUUUCAUUAA